GAGGCGCUGUCUUCUAUAUCUACCCUGUAGAUCCGGAUUUGUGUAGAAAUCAUUAAAAUAAUCACAAAUUCGCUUCUAGGGGAGUAUAUAGUGGAUUUAUACACGUCG
ensembl:miRNA